rnacentral:rRNA from 1 species
UACGUAGGCAGCAAGCGUUACUCGGAAUUACUGGGCGUAAAGGGUGCGUAGGUGGUUUGUUAAGUCUGCUGUGAAAUCCCCGGGCUCAACCUGGGAAUGGCAGUGGAUACUGGCAAGCUAGAGUGCGGUAGAGGGUAGUGGAAUUCCCGGUGUAGCAGUGAAAUGCGUAGAGAUCGGGAGGAACACCAGUGGCGAAGGCGGCUACCUGGACCAGCACUGACACUGAAGCACGAAAGCGUGGGGAGCAAACAGG